rnacentral:lncRNA from 10 species
GUGCUCGAGCGUGCGCUGGCGGCGGCCCGGGCUCCCGGGCGUCUCUCACGCUGUGUUUUGGCGGCGCCUGGGGUCUUCGUUUGCAUAUGAGAAGAGCCGAAAGCACAGAGCUACAGGCGAAUACAAGUGGAUUUUUUUUCUUUUUCUGUUUUUUUAUUAGAAGUAAUAGUUGCUGCAUUUUGAAAAAUCAAGAGGAAAAGAGUUAACAGGAAGAAAAGUUCGAGUGUCUCUGUUGCCCAGGCUGGAAUGCAGUGGUGCAAACAUGGCUCACUACAGCCUCAACCUCCUGGCCUCAAGCGAUCCUCCUGCCUCCACUUCCUGAGUAACUUUGGUCACAGAGACACGGUUUCCCUAUGUUGCCCAGGCUGGUCUUGAACUCCUGGUCUCAAGUGAUCCUCCUGCCUUGGCAAAAUGCUGGGAUUACAGAGCUGCCGGCUUCCCCUUGAAGGAAUAGGAGUAGACCUGCUGAACUAUCACAUGAGAGAAGAGGCCCAAAAGCUUGCACACUACAGUCAAGCUGGCCCUUAAAGAGAUGGACCUAGAAGAUGCUGAGCCAGAUGUACUCAAUUACUUCUCCAAAAUUCAUCAAUUAGAACUGCUUCUUGCUGCCGCCAUAUGAAGAAGGACGUGUUCGCUUCCCCUUCCUCCAUGAUUGUAAGUUUCCUGAGACCUCGCCAGCCAUGCUGAACUUCUUGCUAGCGGUCUAUCAAUUUUGUUGAUCCUUUCAAAAAACCUCAGAAAUAACGCC